ACCGGGAGAACUGAAACAUCUAAGUACCCCGAGGAAAAGAAAUCAACCGAGAUUUCGUCAGUAGCGGCGAGCGAAAGCGAAAGAGCCAGUAAGUGAUAGCAGUAUAGUUAGGAGAAUGUGUUGGGAAACACAAUCAAAGAGGGUGAUAAUCCCGUAUCUAAAAACCAUAUUGUGGUACUAAGCUAACGAGAAGUAGGGCGGGACACGUGAUAUCCUGUUUGAAGAAGGGGGGCCCA
rnacentral:rRNA from 1 species